UUGAAGAAAGGGAGCGUUGAAGCGUGUUUUUCAUCUGGGCACUUGAAAUACGUGGAGCGAGUAGUGCAACCGACCUUUCUUUAA
rnacentral:ncRNA from 1 species